rnacentral:lncRNA from 13 species
AUAACCCAAGACAUUUGACACAAAUAUGACACAAAAACCAACAAAAUUUUAAUUGGACAAUAAAAAUUAUUAUUAUAUUGGAACUGAAGUAUCCAAGUAUUUAAAUUUAACUAAUGACUAUAUCCAGGCCUGUAUAAGCGACAAAUUAAUAAACAAGAACGACAAGUUAUAAUUGACAAAGGCUAAAAAAUUACAAAAUUACCUACAGCUAAGAUUAUACUAUUACGUGCAAACGAGAUAGAUGAGAUUUUUAGUGGUCAAGGCGACAAAUAUAAAGAAGACACUUCGGAGUUAACUAAUUUGGAACAAAAACUAACAGCAGACCAAAAAAAUGGGUUAAGCAAUAAGAUGAAAAUUAUGUCCGAUUUAUUAGAAAAUUUAACCCAAGACUUCGAGAAUCACAAAAAGUCCACGCAAGAAGAAAUUGCACAACUUAAAAAACAGAUAAAAAAAUUAAGUAAUAAGUCACAUUAAGAUGAUUAUAAGUAUAUAUAUAUAGGCAAAUAACAUUAAGAUGAUUAUAAAUAUAUAUAGGCACAACCAUUCUUAUACUGCGCCGCCAAUAAGCCACGCAUUGGCUGAAAAGUACUGUUUAUUAUAUUUCAUUUGUAUUAUACAUUUAUGUUUUAAUCACAAAUUU